rnacentral:rRNA from 1 species
AGCGAACGCUGGCGGCAGGCUUAACACAUGCAAGUCGAGCGGGCACUUCGGUGUCAGCGGCAGACGGGUGAGUAACGCGUGGGAACGUGCCCUUCGGUUCGGAAUAACUCAGGGAAACUUGAGCUAAUACCGGAUAAGCCUUUUUGGGGAAAGGUUUAUCUGCCGAAGGAUCGGCCCGCGUCUGAUUAGCUAGUUGGUGAGGUUAUGGCUGACCAAGGCGACGAUCAGUAGCUGGUCUGAGAGGAUGAUCAGCCACACUGGGACUGAGACACGGCCCAGACUCCUACGGGAGGCAGCAGUGGGGAAUAUUGGACAAUGGGGGCAACCCUGAUCCAGCCAUGCCGCGUGAGUGAUGACGGCCUUAGGGUUGUAAAGCUCUUUUCUCCGGGACGAUAAUGACGGUACCGGAGGAAUAAGCCCCGGCUAACUUCGUGCCAGCAGCCGCCGUAA